CAGGUGCCGGACCUGCCGGCACCACGGCUGCAGCUGCUCUGCUGCACCUGUGACCUUGGGGCAAAGAGGAAGCGGCUAUUUCUACGCUCAGUGCUCCAAACCUGGGCACUAAGAAUGGUUUGUAGCCAGACAUUG
ensembl:snoRNA